UCGUGCUCAACGGGUAAGUGGUGUAGAUGAAACAAAUUAACCAACCUUUAUUGUGUUGGAUUGUUUCACCUAUCGUUCCAUUUGCAGGUACGA
rfam:Drosophila persimilis strain MSH-3 cont1.000407, whole genome shotgun sequence.